ensembl:lncRNA
GGAGAGUUCUUUUAACCUUUAGGGUUUGAACGAUAUAACUGCUUUUAUUGUUUUUAUAUUCAAUUUUUGUAAACCUUUUCGCUUUUUUAUAUAAAUAAAAAUUCUCCUUUUUGGGGAACAAAAGACCAUUUGUUUCCGGGGGAUUCCUUUCCACUGAGGGGCCUCCUCCCAGGGGCUGAAUGACAAGAACACCGCUUCGAAACCUGCAGACACCGGGCGGGCAAGGAGAGGAGACCGGACAUCUCACCCGUCUGUGGUUAGAACCUUGCCCCCACAAUGGCCUCCCAGUCUAUAGGAGGCCGCCUGUAAUACACGUCCCAUACCCUCAGGGGACCGGCAAACCCAUGUGUGUUGCCUGCCUCGGGGACACACGGGUCCAAUACCCCUCCAAACCACUGCGGCAGCCCUGGCUACCGCGAGUGGCUGUAUUUACCUUUUGAUUGCAACUCCUACAAAUUUAGGACAACGUUCGAGGACAACGAGAGGAGGAACGCCUGCAUGCAGACGUUGAGGCCAGACGACACUUCGAGGGAGAGACCCGCGACCCCUUGGCCGUCGCCGGCUUUGUCAACCCCCGAGGCGUCACCCACGACUUCCUGGGGAGAGGUGGACGUCCCAACGCCACCCCUAACACCGUUCCUGCGACCACCGAGGCGAUGGCCAAACUCCAACUCGGGGACCCCGGGUCCAACCCAGACCCAGACCCCCUCGACAGUACGACGCAUCAUAAGGGUCCCGAGCCCCCUGUGCCCCUGUGACAACUGCGUCAGAAGGAGAGAGUGGACUGGGAACAGGGGGACCGACGAGCUGAUCGCCGAGCAGGUCCUCGACCGGCAACGGACCACGGCUGUCGGGCCGAUCCGCACCCGUUUUCCCCCGGUAACAGAAGACGCCACAGUGCCAAAUGGGCCCGGGCCCGCGAGGGAAGAGCCCUCACCAAGCCGGAGAAGGCUGACCUCUCGCAGGGAAUGCACAGUGUGAACUUUCUCCGCGAUAUUGCUGCUUGCGCCACCACCCUCCUUGCCUGCACUCCCAAACUGAAGUUUUUUAUGAGGUCACGCAAUGCUGAUGUACGCCUCUCUUUCACCUCCAUCACGACCGUCACCGGCUGGAGCAGAAUCGCCCACAUGCAGACGGGUGAAUGCGAUUACGAGCGCUUCCCAGCCUCCAAACCCACUCCGGGCAGACCCGUUGCGGACAAGGUGAAGAAAGGGAUUAUCUUGCAAAGCUCCGAUCAUGGGAUCAUUCCCGACGCAACCCAAAGGUUCAAACCUGGCAAAAUCAUGUUCAUCGAUGAUGGUGGCAUCUGGGGAAUUCUGCUCCUCCCCCGGUCUGACAACGUGUUUUUCUGACAACUGCAAGACGAUGUAGGUUAUGAACCAUUUUUAUUUUACAAGGAGGGUGUUGUAUAGCCGGAUACUGUGUAAAACAAAAAAUGCUUACAAAAACAUAAUGCUUUUCUUUGUGCACCAAGAUACAGGUCAAACAUAUACGUAGGUCCCGGGUGAGAACUUAAUCAAAAGGUUCCUUAAACUCAAUAAAGUGUUGUCACUGAGUGAGUGUCACGAAUGUAUCGUCUUAACAACCUACUUCACCAUCAUCCGCGUUAGAUAUUGGGGGGAAGAUAAGCAAUACUGUGUGUACCGAACAAAUACGAGUCAGCUAAAAAACCUUAAGGAAUAUGAUCGAUAUUAGAACUUAUUCGCUAAUAACGAUGAGAUACACAGUGACUAAAAAAAGUAGUUCCGCUGCUGGCGAAAACAUAAAACGCACGACUUAAGAAAUAGGUAUAAUACGACUCGCCCUUGUAGCUGUAAGUCCUACUCUUAAGGAAGUUGUCUUCCUCACUCAAACUACUAUAGCUCGUCGCGACAAUAUCUUCAUAGCAGCGGCGCACUCGGACAAGACUAACAGGACAAAGGCGUAUAUCCUCCUCAAUCUCACAGGAGCAGAGGCCAUCGAAAGGGAGCGUUCAUUCGUUUACGCAGCAGAGGUGAGAGCGCCUGGUGAAGAUGGAGCUGUCAUCGUUCGAAAUUUCAGGAAGUAUGCAACCCUCAACAAAACAAAACAAUGGAGAGACACAAGUUCCACUCACAAAAUCAAAAGCAAGGUGAGACUAUUCCUACAUCAGUGAUGUGAGGAUCAAAGCUAAAAGUUGUCACAUUGGAGACCUGACAGAUUAAUUGAUUUGUGACAGAAUAGUGUGUGGAAUCAGAAGACUGUAUGAGAAAGGCUUUGCUGCGUGACAGUGAAUUAACCCUGAACGAAGCUAUUACAAUCUGCUGCAUAUAUGAAAUGACUGAGGAGAGUAAUAAGUCUCUAGCCCAGUCCCAAAUAGCCACCACUUUUGACGCAAUCCACCCAAACUCCAGUGGUUGGCACAACAGGUCGAGACUUAAACCUCAAGCAGGCCAACGUGAUGAAAAAUCCAUUACAAAUUGCAAUAACUGUGGAGGCAGCCACGCUGCACAGAGAGAAAAAUGUCCUGCUAUCGGGCAGCAGUGCCAUAUCUGCAGGAAAUUCAACCACUUCAAAAAAUGCUGCAGGUCCAUGUCAUACGGACAAGGCUAUGAAAAGAUGGGCUACGUAAAGAGAAGGGACAGCGAAAGAUCGGUGCACCAGCUAGAGCUACAAGAGCCUGAUGACAGUGCUAGUGACACUUUCUAUGUGGAUGGCGUCAAAGUGGACACCAUCAAUCCUCAAAAGAAGGACAAGAUGAAGGAUUUGUUACGCUGCAUGUACAUGACCGGCCAGUCGAGAUGAAGGCUGAUACUGUUAGGGAUUUAAGCCAGAAGUGCACCCCUAGUGGUGGGAAUUAUAAUACGUGUAAUAAUGUUUAGUGUUAGUUAUUACAUUAACAUGUUAGAUGAAGUGAAUGCAAUUUGAAUCAAACACAAUGUAUAGUCAUUUAAAACAUAUAAACACUGUACACAUUAACAUUCUGUCACAAUGUGAUGUUAAAACCUGGGGACGGACGCUAAUUGCCGUCCUUUAUGGAUUUCUCCCAAUUUUAUUCCCAAAGAGGGUUUUUUGGGAGUUUUUUCGCCUGUCAGGUAGUAAAUAAACAACUUAAUGUAAGGCAGCCAACUGAGGCAAAUGUCUUGAGAAUUGGACCACAUGAACUGUCUUAGAUCUUAUGAUGAAGUGUGAUUAACGGUGAUCAUUAAUGAUGUGUUGUAAUUAAGGUGUACUAGUUAUAAGAUGAAGACAAACUAUGCAUGCUUUGUUAUAUUCACUCAUUGAGGAAUAAAGCCAAAUGUAUCUACAUUGCACUGCAUGAAAAGUGAGAUUUUC